UUUUAAAUUUAAGUUUGCCCAGAACAGUUGAUUAAACAGACAAACAAACCUUGAGGACAAACAACGGACCAUCGCAAUGCCAGGACAUUGCAUGAUGUCACAGAUCACAAAAUAAGGCCACAUCUGUUCGACGGUCAUUGGGGCGGAUAAGUUAAUGAAUGUGGGAAUGUAAUGAAUACGUAAUACAUGUGAAAAUAUAACCCAUUUAGGAACAACUGACCGGCGGAGCGUUCUCAGAGUUAUCUCGACGGUGCCCCGGCCUCGCCAAUGAAGAAUACCUCACUUAAAGUCACGCUUGAUCCCUCGUAGCUCGCUAGAAAGCCAUCUCAAGCCUCGGGAGAUCACGAGCCAGUUUUACAGUCGGCACGCUCUCUGUCCUUCCCACACCUUUCCAGAUCAGACAGGCCCACAUAACCAUUGCGUACGAACAACUACACAACGCUCAGUCAGAGUGGGAAAUACCACGAUAUUGCGUUCUCUCUGCAUCCAUUCUGCACUUGCGAACCGUAAGCUUAUAGAGGCUUUGAAUGCAUGUAACGACUCUGGGCAUGCUUCGGAUUUCCUAAGAAAAGAUACUGUGGGAUCAAAACCUUGGUGUCAUACUCUGAGCAACGAAGUCAAACAGCGCUGGCUGGUGACUGUUUUCCCCGCCUCGGAAUUGCAUUUUCCCACCGACAAAGUUCAGUUAUAACAGGCGAGGAAUCUUCGUACAUUUCGUUGGAUUAGGGUUGCUGCAUCAUUUCUGCGUUUUAGCCAGCCUCGGAUCAUACGUUGACAUUGAAUGAUUCUUUGAUAAUCUCUUUGAAACCUUUUCUGUUGCAUUUUUGC
rnacentral:lncRNA from 1 species